GUGUCAGCCGCCGCGGUAACACCGGCGGCUCGAGUGGUAACCGUUAUUAUUGGGUCUAAAGGGUCUGUAGCCGGCCGGAUAAGUCUCUUGGGAAAUCUGGCAGCUUAACUGUCAGGCUUUCAGGAGAUACUGUCUGGCUCGAGGCCGGGAGAGGUGAGAGGUACUUCAGGGGUAGGGGUGAAAUCUUGUAAUCCUUGAAGGACCACCAGUGGCGAAGGCGUCUCACCAGAACGGACCUGACGGCAAGGGACGAAAGCUAGGGGCACGAACCGGAUUAGAUACCCGCGUAGUCC
rnacentral:rRNA from 1 species